rnacentral:rRNA from 1 species
GUUGGCUUAGAAGCAGCCAUCAUUUAAAGAAAGCGUAAUAGCUCACUGGUCGAGUCGGCCUGCGCGGAAGAUGUAACGGGGCUAAACCAUGCACCGAAGCUGCGGCAGCGACACUGUGUGUUGUUGGGUAGGGGAGCGUUCUGUAAGCCUGUGAAGGUGGCCUGUGAGGGUUGCUGGAGGUAUCAGAAGUGCGAAUGCUGACAUAAGUAACGAUAAAGCGGGUGAAAAGCCCG